rnacentral:rRNA from 1 species
UACGUAGGGUGCGAGCGUUGUCCGGAAUUAUUGGGCGUAAAGAGCUUGUAGGCGGUUUAUCGCGUCUGCUGUGAAAAUCCGGGGCUCAACCCCGGACUUGCAGUGGGUGCGGGCAGGCUAGAGUGUGGUAGGGGAGACUGGAAUUCCUGGUGUAGCGGUGGAAUGCGCAGAUAUCAGGAGGAACACCGAUGGCGAAGGCAGGUCUCUGGGCCACUACUGACGCUGAGAAGCGAAAGCAUGGGGAGCGAACAGG